rnacentral:sRNA from 1 species
CAGGUUCGAAUCCUGCCGUUCACGCUUUU